AUCUUUAUGGGAUAAUCUUAAAAUUAUACAUUAACUUUAUUUUACUGUGUAAUUUUAUACAUGAAAUUUUAAUUUGAUUUCAUUUUCACAAUUUAUUAACACGAUUAUUGAUAUAACAUCAUUUUAUGUUUAUAUAUUUCAUGCACAAAUAACUAUAUUUAUACAAUAAAAAAGGUAAUGUGAUGUAUUUAUUUUUUAAAAUGUGUAUAUAAUUGAAUCAAUAUUAAAGUUUUAUGUAUAUAUAUUUGAACCAAAGUCAAAGUUUCAUAUAUAUAACUACACCAAAUCAAAAUUAAUGUAUAAAAUUACACAUUGAAUUAAAAUUCAUGUAUAAUUUUGAGAUUUGUCUCAUUUUUAU
rnacentral:pre_miRNA from 1 species